rnacentral:misc_RNA from 1 species
CACUCAGGGCGAAGCUAGGGAGCGAAUGGGAUAGAUACCCCAGUAGUCCUAGCCGUAAACGAUGGAUACUAGGUGUUGUCUUAUCGACCCGGACAGUGCCGUAGCUAACGCGUUAAGUAUCCCGCCUGGGGAGUACGCACGCAAGUGUGAACUCAAAGGAAUGACGGGGGCCCGCACAAGCGGUGGAGUAUGUGGUUAAUUCGAUGCAACGCGAAGAACCUUACCAGGACUUGACAUGUCGCGAAUCUUUUGGAAACAGAAGAGUGCCUUCGGGAGCGCGAACACAGGUGGUGCAUGGCUGCCGUCAGCUCGUGUCGUGAGAUGUUGGGUUAAGUCCCGCAACGAGCGCAACCCUCGUGUUUAGUUGCCAUCAUUAAGUUGGGCACUCUAAACAGACUGCCGGUGACAAACCGGAGGAAGGUGGGGAUGACGUCAAGUCAGCAUGCCCCUUACGUCCUGGGCGACACACGUACUACAAUGGUAGGGACAGAGGGCAGCCAACCCGCGAGAGUGAGCUAAUCCCGUAAACCCUGCCUCAGUUCAGAUUGCAGGCUGCAACUCGCCUGCAUGAAGGCGGAAUCGCUAGUAAUCGCAGGUCAGCAUACUGCGGUGAAUCCGUUCCCGGGCCUGUACACACCGCCC